CAUAUCAGACCGCAUCAUACGUCACUGGCAAGCCAGGGAGUCAUCUGCCUUUGGCUCCAGGGUGCCCUGUGGCUGCUGAGAAGUCAGCAGCAUCAAGCAGUGUGAACUUAACCCCCGCCGGCCCUUUCGCUGUACUGCAGAGUUGCUUAGGAGCACUGGCUCGACAGUCGGGCUGUUUGGAGUCAAAUCCCAGCUCCUCCACUAGCUGUGUGACCUUGGGCCAGCAUCUAACUAAACUUUAUCUUUAAAACAGGUAUGAUAAGGCCAGUGUCAUAGAAUUCUUAGAAAAAGUAACCAGUCGAUGGAGUAAAAGUUUAGCACAGUACCUGAAAAAUAAUGUGCUGAACAAAUAUAGGUAUAUGGUCAAUUUUAUGUGUGUGUAUCUAUGUGUAUAUAUGUACAUACCUAUGUUUAUGUCUGUAUUUCUUUACAGUAUUCAUACACAGUAAACAUUUUCCCUGUCUGCAAUAUUUUUAUGCUUUGUUGCCUAUCUUUUGGAAUAUAUAUUUCUAGGUGUUUAGAAGAUAUAUAUAUUUUUUAUUAUUUUGGUAAUUACUUUUUAUAUAGUUUUAUAUAAAACUAUAUAGUUUUAUUAUUUUGGUAAUUACUUUUUAAGUUAACCAAAAUGAAUUACUUUUAAAUUUAUACCUUUUCAAAUCAUAAAACUUGACAAUAAAAAGGCAACCUUUAGGUCCUCCCAUCUGAACAUGAGCUCCUGUUUAUCAGCAAAUGCCUCUCAAUUUGCCUUUCCACAUAAAAUAUAAGGAGGAAGCUCAGUAAGUUCUUAAGUCACCAUCUUUUCUCCUCAAAGCUCUGCUAAAUUCAAUACUCUAUCUUUUUGGCAUUUAAUGCUAGAAAGGAGAAGAAAAACAACUUUGUUCCCUGGCAGCAAAUAGCUUGCCAGUUAUUUUGGCAAGGUACUUUAUUAAUUAUUAAAAAGAAAUGCUCAUAUUUUUCAUUGAUUUCACAUGAAAAAUAUGGGGAACGCUUUCAAAUCUGCAUGCAUGCAUGAAAACUUAUAAUGAUGUUGUUCUAUUUCACUCGAGGUGGUUUCCUGUUUAUAAACACCUGUAAUUCUCCUGUUAGAUAUUCUCUCUAUACGUCUUCCCCCUCAUUUUAUGUUUUUAUCCUUUAGAUUCUGAAAGAGCUUUUCCUUGUUUCUCCCUCACAACACAGAAUUUAUUUUCAGCUCAUUACCCCCCUCGCAUGAAUUUUAAUGUGCUAUUACAGUUUUAACUUAGUCUUUUUUGAUUGUUUCACUCCGAUUUCAUCCUAUCCUACUGUCUUUUCCGCUCAUAACCUUCUGACUACUUUCUGCCCCUUUCAUGAGGGACAGAAAUGAAUCAUAAUAAUAAACGGAAAUAUUGUAAUAGAAAUAAAUCAUAAUAAAUCAGUUCUGGAGGUCUACUCUUCUUUUAAAUCUCCAAUACGGUCUCCCUUUUUCUUUUAUAGAUGGAUCUGGUUCAGUAGGCUUGGUUACGUUUUUCCCGUUUACUUAUCACUAAACAAGGAACGAUCUACCCACACCUGGUGAAUGCUCUGAGCCAAGGGACCCACUGGGUGCUGAUUAUAGACCUAUAGUUGGCAGGUUGAGAUGAACAGGCCAAUUCCAAAGUGGUUUUCAUUUCAACCUAGUUUUGGUGAAUCUGAGAGAAAAUUCUCCUGCGUUCACCGCCUGGCUUUUUGAGGCUCUGAGUGACAGAGAGCCUGUAAUACUCAAAACCCUCAGUGAACACAAGUCUUUCUAACUCUACACCACCUCCAGCACUUUAUUUUCAUGGAUCAGAUUCUUGGGAUGUAACAGUAAUAGCCCCUAACUUACCAUUCCAGCUCUCUCUGGUUAUUUUCUGAAUUGUGACCUCCUACUGAUUAAAAAGGCCCUGUCAGAGAGGACAAGGUAUGGGAUGCAGGGGGGAGGACUUGGGGGGGAGGAGUGGGAGGGAGACAGGGGGCGGAGGGGGCAAUUCCUGAGGACAGUUCCACAGGACCUUUCUGAAUUAUGGAGAGAGUUAGGGAGGAGAUGGGUCUGUCCCGCUAUUUUUAGGUGGUCAAAACUUAUCCUAUUAUAUUUUUUUACUCCGGUUCUGUUGAAUUUACAGUAGGCAUUUCUCCCCACCAAUUCCAGUUUCAUGUGUUUAGAAUUUUUUUCUUCCUAUCUUCUUAGGGACUGUAGUGAGAAGAGGCUCUCUCAGGAACUCUGGAGAAGCUAUGUCAGGACUACCAGUCAGAGGCCUUUUUAACUCAGAAAACAUUUUUUAAAGUUUUUUUUUUUUUUUUCAAUGGGAAAACAUAUAAAUAAGCAAAAAUAAAUGUAUUCAAGAAGUUCUGUUGACACUAACUGCCUUUGAGAGACAAUCUCUGGACAAUGUCACAUUGUCCUAUUAGACACCUGAAAAUAAAAUCACCUGUGCCUUUCAUUUACCCCCUCAUCCACCCCUCUCCCCUUGGAAUUCAGGUAACAGAAACACAAAUGUUAUAAAUUUGGAAGUGACCGACUUUCCUGAGAAAUAUGGUGGACAUUCAAAGGAAUUUGGCAAUCUACGUAGUCUUUUUUUAGAUGGCGCUUACUGCUAACCUCAACAUAAUUCAGGUAUAAGACUUUGAGAUUCAUCUGAGUCAACUUCAGGUUUCUUGCUCUCACAGAUUUCAAGCAGCCGCUAUCCACAUGCCAAAAUACACAAUUCUCAUGCUGGACAGCCUCAAGUCUUUGGCUUUUAAGCAAGCAAUAACUCCAGUCCGCACUCCAUUUUAAUCAAAAUGAUAUAAUUAUGAGUCUAAAAUAAGAAAACUUGAAACUCAGGGAAACAUUUAAGGCAAGACAUUAAACUUCUUCAAAAGCAACAGGAAUGAAGGUAAAUCUAUUUAUCAAUGUUAUAUAGCUUUUGAGUUAUCAGAUCAUGGUGUAUUUCUUCCUGAGAAAAUUUGCAUUUACACGCACACACCCAAAACUUUGUCUUAGCUUCAUGGCCUUAUCCAUCUCUUUGUAAUUCAAUCCUUUCAAAUAUUUACAAUAAAAAAAUGUUCUAAGUCACAUAUAAAUUUGAGGCAAAUUUCUGGAGUUGUAUGAAUGUAAUAACUAGUGAAACUUAACAGAUAAAGCAGACGUAACUGAAGACCACCCAAAAAGCAGAAUUCAGUUACCGAUCACUUCACAAAGAACUGCUUAAGCAGAUCCCCACGACUGCCUGCCUUGCCCAGAAUGUUCUUGAAUCUUGUGAAUGCGCCAUUACUAUGAAGUCCCCUUUCUUUUUAAAUAUUUACAACAUCACAUGAGCUUCAGUUUUUUAAUCUCAAAAAGUUAUCAUACGGGAUCUUUGCAAGGUGGUUGUGAGGGUCAGUUGAAAAAUGUCUAUAAAAUGCCUGGCAGGGCUGGGUGCAGUGGCUCAUGCUCGUAAUCCCAGCACUUGGGAGGCCGAGGUGGGUGGAUCACCUGAGCCUCCUAAAGUGCUAGGAUUACAGGUGUGUGUUACUGUACUUGGCCUCAAAUAUUAUUUUUAAAAAUAGAAUAAAAAUAAAACCAUCAGUGUUUAAUUAGGAUUCACACUAGUUAAAAGUUUAACAUAGCAUAAUAUCUAAUAUCAUAAAAAUUAAUCUUAUAAAUGCCCUUGAGUAAUUUGAAACCCGCAUUUUACAAAAAAAAAAAAAAAAAAAAAAAAGUAGCAGG